ACAACAUUCUCCCCAGACACCAGUAUCACACAGUACAACAUAUCCUCAAACACAGUAUUCAACAGGUACAACAUUAUCCUCAGACACCAGUAUUCACACAGUACAAACAUUAUCCCAGACACAGUAUCACACAGGUACAACAUUACAUUAUCCCCAACAGCAGUAUUCACACAGGUACAACAUUAUCCCCAGACAGCAGUAUUCACACAGGUACAAACUUAUCCCAGACAGCAGUAUUCACACAGGUACAACAUUAUCCCCAGACACCAGUAUUCACACAGGUACAACAUUAUCCUCAGACACCAGUAUUCACACAGGUACAACAUUAUCCUCAGACAGCAGUAUUCACACAGGUACAACAUUAUCCUCAGACAGCAGUAUUCACACAGGUACAACAAUCCUCAGACAGCAGUAUUCACACAGGACACAUUCCUCAGCUCACACGGUCUGUCUAUACAUUACAGUGUACUACACAUGUCACACUUCUGAGCCAAAUGGAGCUGAUCAAACCAGAGCCCUCCUCCCCCCUAUGCUCCUUUCAGACCCCCUCUGAUCAAUCAGAGCCCUCCUCCCCCCUAUGCUCCUUUCAGACCCCCCUCUGAAAAUCAGAGCCCCUCCCCUAUGCUCUUCAGACCCCCCUCUGAUCAAAUCAAGCCCUCCUCCCCCCUAUGCUCCUUCAGACCCCCUCUGAUCAAAUCAAGCCCUCCUCCCCCCUAUGCUCCUUGUCAGACCCCCUCCUGAUCAAAUCAGAGCCCUCCUCCCUAUCUCCGUCAGACCCCCCUCUGAUCAAAUCAGAGCCCUCCUCCCCCCUAUGCUCCUCAGACCCCUCUCUGAUCAAAUCAGAGCCCUCCUCCCCCCUAUGCUCCUUUCAGACCCCUCUCUGAUCAAACAAGCCCUCCUCCCCCCUAUGCCUCCUUUCAAACCCCUCUCUGAUCAAAUCAAAGCCCUCCUCCCCCUAUGCUCCUUUCAGACCCCCCUCUGAAUCAAAUCAGAGCCCUCCUCCCCCCCUAUGCUCCUUUCAGACCCCCUUGAUCAAAUCAGAGCCCUCCUCCCCCCUAUGCUCCUUUCAGACCCCCUCUGAUCAAAUCAAGCCCUCCUCCCCUAUGCUCCUUUCAGACCCCCCUCUGAUCAAAUCAGAGCCCUCCUCCCCCUAUGCCCUUCGACCCCCCUCUGACAAAUCAGAGCCCUCCUCCCCCUAUGCUCCUUUCAGACCCCCCCUG
rnacentral:lncRNA from 1 species